CAAGUCGAACGAGACCUUCGGGUCUAGUGGCGCACGGGUGCGUAACACGUGGGAAUUUGCCUCGGGGUAUGGAAUAACUCAGGGAAACUUGAGCUAAUACCAUAUAAUGUCUUCGGACCAAAGAUUUAUCGCCCUGAGAUAAGCCCGCGUAGGAUUAGCUAGUUGGUGGGGUAAAGGCUCACCAAGGCGACGAUCCUUAGCUGGUCUGAGAGGAUGAUCAGCCACACUAGGACUGAGACACGGCCCAGACUCCUACGGGAGGCAGCAGUGGGGAAUAUUGGACAAUGGGCGAAAGCCUGAUCCAGCAAUGCCGCGUGAGUGAUGAAGGCCUUAGGGUUGUAAAGCUCUUUUACCCGGGAUGAUAAUGACAGUACCGGGAGAAUAAGCUCCGGCUAACUCCGUG
rnacentral:rRNA from 1 species